rnacentral:rRNA from 1 species
AGCAGCCGCGGUAAUUCCAGCUCCAAUAGCGUAUAUUAAAGUUGUUGCAGUUAAAAAGCUCGUAGUUGAAUUUCGGGAUCAGUGGGUCGGUCGUGCCACUGGUAUGUACUGGCCCUACUGGUUCCUCCUUCUUGAAGAACUGUAAUGCCAUUAAUUUGGUGUUGCAGGGAAACAGGACUGUUACUUUGAAAAAAUUAGGGUGUUUAAAGCAGGCAAUCGCCUGAAUACAUUAGCAUGGAAUAAUGAAAUAGGACGUUCGAUCCUAUUUUGUUGGUUUCUAGGAUUGACGUAAUGAUUAAUAGGGAUAGUUGGGGGCAUUAGUAUUCAAUUGUCAGAGGUGAAAUUCUUGGAUUUAUUGAAGACUUAACUACUGCGAAAGCAUUUGCCAAGGAUGUUUUCAUUAAUCAAGAACGUAAAGUUAGGGAUCGAAGACGAUCAGAUACGUCGUAGUCUUAACCAUAAACUNUAGACCGACUAGGGAUCGGAUGAUGUUUAAUUUUUANGUACUUCAUUCGGCGCC